AAUGAACGCUGGCGGCGUGCCUAAUACAUGCAAGUCGAGCGAACAGACGAGGAGCUUGCUCCUCUGACGUUAGCGGCGGACGGGUGAGUAACACGUGGAUAACCUACCUAUAAGACUGGGAUAACUUCGGGAAACCGGAGCUACUACCGGAUAACAUGUUGAACCGCAUGGUUCAACAGUGAAAGACGGUCUUGCUGUCACUUAUAGAUGGAUCCGCGCCGCAUUAGCUAGUUGGUAAGGUAACGGCUUACCAAGGCAACGAUGCGUAGCCGACCUGAGAGGGUGAUCGGCCACACUGGAACUGAGACACGGUACAGACGCCUACGGGAGGCAGCAGUAGGGAAUCUUCCGCAAUGGGGGAGAGCCUGACGGAGCAACGCCGCGUGAGUGAAGAAGGACUUCGGAUCGUAAAACUCUGUUAUUAGGGAAGAACAAAUGUGUAAGUAACUAUGCACGUCUUGACGGUACCUAAUCAGAAAGCCACGGCUAACUACGUG
rnacentral:rRNA from 1 species